UCAGAGUUCGUUUGGUUUUAUUGACCAACUUUGGCCAAAAGUAGUUUUUAUGGCUUUUCGCCUUUAGAAUCUCUUGGACUUUAUUAUUAUAGCAAUCCUAUGAAUGUCUGGGUAUGCUCAAAUACGCUGACGUCACCAGAUGAUUAUACGAACUGUCAACGUACCAAUACUAACUGGCUGAUUAAUAGAAACUAUAGCUAAAAAAACAACAGUCGACUUCGACUUUGACAUCCGGAAAAGUUGCCCGACGGAGCUAAAAAGGUGUGGCCUGAUAGUAACCUGAUAACAGGCCUUCUAGUGUUAAGGAUAACACUAAUGAAACAAACAACAACCAUCUCAACGUUCGCAAACGGUUUGCGCUCGCUCAUUUUUCUAGGUGGAGGCAUUGGGUAUGUGGCGUGUUGCUCGGUGGCUUCUGGGUCAUCGCUUUCGCUAGCGCCAUGUAAAAGAAGUUUAAAGACUUCGUUUGUUGUCGAACGUGAAAUUCUUGUUAUUACAACAGCUCUUGGAGAACAGCGGCAACCACCGUCGUCGAAUUCGCCUCCGCCCCCAUUGGACGUCUAGUCAGCAAUUGGGCGCCAACAGCGCUGAUAGCCUCCUACGUUCAUCCAACGGAUCCGUACACAAGUCGACGGUGUGCAUUAUUACCCGUGACAUUCUACCGUUCGGAUGGUGACCUAUACAUUCGCAGACGUGAAAGUCUAGAGGUCCGGUCUAUAAAAUCUCUCAAGGAAAUCUUUAGCUCUAAACAGGAGUUGGUAAUGUUAAUCUACAGCAACAAUGUUUGUUUAGUGUAACACGGGUACUUUUUUUUGUCGAGGGUGAUCGUGUUAUAGGUGUGCUAUGAACCCUGGCUGAUUAUUACGGAAUCUGCUCAUCAUCUCUUCUAAUUAUUGAUAGUAUAUUUUAGUCGUAAUUGACAACCCAGGGCUGACGAAGUAGUAGACCACCAAAGAAAUACCACUCGCUAUCGUUGCCAUACAUUUGCUUUAGGGUUAUAUCUUGUAGGUUUAUUUGCAUCACAAGUCACCAUUCUUUACGGGAAUGGGUUACUAUCACGUGAGACCGAAGAGAAGUAAACGUCUUUAUGCCUUUGUCUUAUACCCCUACGCUCACUCCUUCAAGCUGCUCUAUUCGCUUUAUCUGUCUCCUCUACUAAUUUAACCGAGGGGAAACACACCGGCGAGCUUUGCCUUUGCAGCGAGCCCUCUACGAGGCUUAUUCGUUUUAGGUUUUUCAGGUCCGGACAUUUUCAAACCAACAUCUCUAUAGUGCCUCUGGUAAAAUGUCCUUCACCAAAUACAAAGCUUGCACGACAAAGUGUCUCCGCCGAAACUAGAACCCAUAUUUGUCGAAACUCCUGUUGAAAUUGCAUGGGGCCUACUGCAGCUCGUCAGCUAAAGCCCGAGUGACGAUAUCAGAGUGGACGAUCAUAAAUACCAAAUUACAGGGACAACUACAUCUCGAAGGCAAAAGGAGUGUCACGAAACAUCGUACCUUUACGACGCCAUCUUGAAAUUUUAAGCUCGACGUUUCUCGCACUUCAUAUUAUAGCCUAAAAUGAUACUGUUGUACAUUAGUUUUAUAGAUUCGAAGCAACGACAACGCGCAUCGGUAAAGGGGCACUGGCAAAUCAUCAAUUGUUGUUUAGCGUUUUACGUUUGGACAACAAAUCGCAAAGGACAGAUGAUACAGAAGAAAGACAUGAAAAUAUUUGAGACCAACCAAUAUUCGUAGAUAAGCGAACUCAUUAUGGAGGAUACAUACAUUUGUACAAAUAAAACAAGCUUGCAAUACAUUUUUAUGCUCAGCCGGUCUAUGUAAAUAGUUACAGCCUAAUGGUAUAGCACAGCAAUGUACCAGGCGGUACUGUUUCGUAUUAGGUCGAUGUGUCCUGUUUUUUGUUUACGGCAGGUCCGUUGAUAUUGUCGUGAAGCAGGUGC